rnacentral:rRNA from 1 species
ACGCCUGCCCAGUGAACAAUUAAACGGCCGCGGUACCCUAACCGUGCAAAGGUAGCAUAAUCAUUUGUCUACUAAUUAUAGACCUGUAUGAAAGGCAAAAUGAGGGUCUAACUGUCUCUUAUAGUAAAUCAAUUAAACUGAUCCCCCAGUAAAAAAGCUGGGAUUACCACAUAAGACCAGAAGACCCUGUGAAGCUUAAACUAAACUAUUAAACCCCAUAAUAAUUACUUUCGGUUGGGGCGACCUUGGAAAAAAAGAGAACUUCCAAAAAUGACUUAUCGUUACAAAAGGCCAACAAGCCAAUAAAGACCCAGCAAUGCUGAAAAUCGAACCAAGUUACUCCAGGGAUAACAGCGCAAUCUUCUUCAAGAGCCCAUAUCAAAAAGAAGGUUUACGACCUCGAUGUUGGAUCAGGACAUCCUGGUGGUGCAGCAGCUACCAAGGGUUCGUUUGUUCAACGAUUAAUAGUCCUACGUGAUCUGAGUUAGAACCGGAACUAAUCGUUAAACAAACAAACCUUGGUAGCUGCUGCACCACCAGGAUGUCCUGAUCCAACAUUGAGGUCGUAAACCUUCUUUUUGAUAUGGGCUCUUGAAGAARAUUG